CCUACGGGCGGCUGCAGUGGGGAAUAUUGCACAAUGGGCGCAAGCCUGAUGCAGCCAUGCCGCGUGUGUGAAGAAGGCCUUCGGGUUGUAAAGCACUUUCAGCGGGGAGGAAGGCGUUAAGGUUAAUAACCUUGUCGAUUGACGUUACCCGCAGAAGAAGCACCGGCUAACUCCGUGCCAGCAGCCGCGGUAAUACGGAGGGUGCAAGCGUUAAUCGGAAUUACUGGGCGUAAAGCGCACGCAGGCGGGCUGUCAAGUCGGAUGUGAAAUCCCCGGGCUCAACCUGGGAACUGCAUUCGAAAAUGGAAGGCUAGAGUCUUGUAGAGGGGGGUAGAAUUCGAGGUGUAGCGGUGAAAUGCGUAGAGAUGUGGAGGAAUACCGGUGGCGAAGGCGGCCCCCUGGACAAAGACUGACGCUCAGGUGCGAAAGCGUGGGGAGCAAACAGGAUUAGAUACCCUUGUAGUC
rnacentral:rRNA from 1 species